rnacentral:rRNA from 1 species
AUUGAACGCUGGCGGAAUGCUUUACACAUGCAAGUCGAACGGCAGCACGGACUUCGGUCGGGUGGCGAGUGGCGAACGGGUGAGUAAUACAUCGGAACGUGCCCAGUCGUGGGGGAUAACGUAGCGAAAGCUACGCUAAUACCGCAUACGAUCUAAGGAUGAAAGCGGGGGAUCGCAAGACCUCGCGCGAUUGGAGCGGCCGAUGGCAGAUUAGGUCAUUGGUAGGGUAAAGGCCUACCAAGCCGACGAUCUGUAGCUGGUCUGAGAGGAUGAUCAGCCACACUGGGACUGAGACACGGCCCAGACUCCUACGGGAGGCAGCAGUGGGGAAUUUUGGACAAUGGGCGCAAGCCUGAUCCAGCCAUUCCGCGUGCAGGAUGAAGGCCUUCGGGUUGUAAACUGCUUUUGUACAGAACGAAAAGGCUCUGGUUAAUACCCGGGGCUCAUGACGGUACUGUAAGAAUAAGCACCGGCUAACUACGUGCCAGCCGCCGCCGUAA